GCCGCGGUAAUACCAGCUCUCCGAGAAGUGUGGAUGUUUAUUGGGCCUAAAGCAUCCGUAGCUUGCUAGAUAAGUCUCCUGUUAAAUCCACCGAUUCAAUCGAUGGAUUGCGGGGGAUACUGUUUGGCUAGGGGACGGGAGAGGUCGACGGUAUUUCCGGGGUAGGGGUGAAAUCCUAUAAUCCCGGGAAGACCACCAGUGGCGAAGGCUGUCGACUAGAACGCGCCCGACGGUGAGGGAUGAAAGCUGGGGGAGCGAACCGGAUUAGAUACCCGGGUAGUCCCAGCUGUAAACGAUGCAGGCUAGGUGUUUGGGCGGCCACGAGCCGCCCUAGUGCCGCAUAGAAGUUGUUAAGCCUGCCGCCUGGGGAGUACGGCCGCAAGGCUGAAACUUAAAGGAAUUGGCGGGGGAGCACCACAAGGGGUGAAGCUUGCGGUUUAAUUGGAGUCAACGCCGGAAAUCUCACCGGGAGCGACAGCAGUAUGAAGGCCAGAUUAAAGGUCUUGCUANACGAGCUGAGAGGAGGUGCAUGGCCGUCGCCAGUUCGCGCCGUGAGGUGUCCUGUUAAGUCAGGCAACGAUCGAGACCCGCGUCCUCUGUUGCUACUGGCCUUGUGCCAUGCACACUGAGGAGACCGCCGCUGAUAAAGCGGAGGAAGGAGCGGGCCACGGCAGGUCAUUAUGCU
rnacentral:rRNA from 1 species